rnacentral:rRNA from 1 species
UCCGUAGGUGAACCUGCGGAAGGAUCAUUAACACUAAUCCAUCUCAACUCAACCAAGCCUUCAGUUGCAGUAGUGGUGCCUCGAGUACAGCUGCUCAACAUCUUUCAAAACUAAUCUAACCAAAGGAGCCUAACUAAGAACAACCACUAAAACAAAUUCUCAACGGUGGAUGUCUUGGUUCCCACAACGAUGAAGAACGCAGCGAAGUGCGAUAAGCAGUGCGAAUUGCAGAACCGUGAGUCAUCAGAUUUUUGAACGCAACUUGCGCCGUACGGGUUCGCCCGUCGGCACGCCUGGUCCAGUGUCUUGUUUUCUCCUCACCCAAAUCAUCAUGCGAGAGAUGCCCUUCUCUUGCCAAGCAUAAAAGCACUCUGCAUUCUGCGAGCGGCCUUCGGGUCGCACUCCAUGCAGCAGUCACAUUGCUCACAAUGUGAACUCAUGGAGAGUGGAGGCAGUGCGGCGACAGCUGCGAGUGCUUGGACACACCAACUUCGGAAUAGUAUCUGGGCUCAGGUGGGACCACCCGCUGAACUUAAGCAUAUCACUAAGCGGAGGAAAAGAAACUAACUAGGAUUCCCUCAGUAACGGCGAGUGAAGCGGGAAGAGCUCAACUUGAAAAUCUGGGUGGCCUCGGUCGCCCCGAAUUGUAGUCUAUAGAGGUAAUGCCAGUCGUGGCCCCGGCUUAAGUCGCCUGGAAUGGCGUGCUCCAUAGAGGGUGAGAGCCCCGUCUGUGGCUGGGAGUCCGCGUACGUACGGUAUGCCUUCUCAGAGUCGAGUUGCUUGGGACUGCAGCUCAAAAUGGGUGGUAAAUUCCAUCUAAAGCUAAAUACUGGCGAGAGACCGAUAGCGAACAAGUACCGUGAGGGAAAGAUGCAAAGGACUUUGAAAAGAGAGUUAAAGAGAACUUGAAAUUGCUGAAAGGGAAACGCUUGAAGU